AAGCCCAUAAUUUAAUGGUUAAAAUGGUUUCUUGAUGAGAAAUUUAUAGAAGUUCAAAUCUUCUUGGGCUUA
rnacentral:tRNA from 1 species